rnacentral:rRNA from 1 species
UACGGGGGGGGCAAGCGUUGUUCGGAAUUACUGGGCGUAAAGGGCUCGUAGGCGGCCAACUAAGUCAGACGUGAAAUCCCUCGGCUUAACCGGGGAACUGCGUCUGAUACUGGAUGGCUUGAGUUCGGGAGAGGGAUGCGGAAUUCCAGGUGUAGCGGUGAAAUGCGUAGAUAUCUGGAGGAACACCGGUGGCGAAGGCGGCAUCCUGGACCGACACUGACACUGAGGCGCGAAAGCGUGGGGAGCAAACAGG